CCUACGGGAGGCAGCAGUGAGGAAUAUUGGUCAAUGGACGAGAGUCUGAACCAGCCAAGUAGCGUGAAGGAUGACUGCCCUAUGGGUUGUAAACUUCUUUUAUAUGGGAAUAAAAUGUUCCACGUGUGGGAUUUUGUAUGUACCAUAUGAAUAAGGAUUGGCUAACUCCGUGCCAGCAGCCGCGGUAAUACGGAGGAUCCGAGCGUUAUCCGGAUUUAGUGGGUUUAAAGGGAUCGUAGGUGGAUUGUUAAGUCAGUUGUGAAAGUUUGCGGCUCAACCGUAAAAUUGCAGUUGAAACUGGCAGUCUUGAGUACAGUAGAGGUGGGCGGAAUUCGUGGUGUAGCGGUGAAAUGCUUAGAUAUCACGAAGAACUCCGAUUGCGAAGGCAGCUCACUGGACUGCAACUGACACUGAGGCUCGAAAGUGUGGGUAUCAAACAGGAUUAGAUACCCUAGUAGUC
rnacentral:rRNA from 1 species